GUCUACAAAAAUACCAUCCUGAGCAUUCCCAAUCUCAUCUGAUCUCAGAAGCUAAGCAGGGUCAGAUCUGGUUAGUACUUGGGUGGGAGAAAUUGAAAUAGUGGUAGAAC
ensembl:rRNA 5S_rRNA 5S ribosomal RNA